UUCUCCUCAGACGUACAGCAACUCUGCGGGUUAAUCUGAACUUUUCAUUGAGUCCAGAAAAUCCAAGUUUACUUUACUGUUCUCACGAAGAACAAGUGACUCUAAGUGUAGGUUUUAUUCUCAGUAGAAACAGGAACUCAGGUUAUUUCCCGCCAGGCCUCAGGCGGCCACGUGGAGAGGACGACCACGAUGGAGACCAGAGAAAAGAUGUGGAAGUCACGGUGGCAGCUUCCUGUGAGUUGCCCAACCCUCAUGAUGAAGUCCCAUGAUGUCUCCAGCAGGAGAUCAGAAUGUGCCUCUUCAAGAGCCUGGAAGCUGAAGCUGAAAGCCGGAGCUUCCAUACGACGUGAAGCCGGACGAUGCUCCUGAUGUUCGCAGCAGUGGGUUGGUUGCUGUCCUGAAAGAUUCACUGGAAAGGAAUUCAUCCAGAGAUGUGGAUCUGCGCCAUCACCUUGAGAUACUUAGUCGUCUCCUCGACCUGAUCCUGACGUCUGCCAUGCAGUGACUGACAGGUUUGGUUGGUGUCCUGAAAGAUUCCCUGCAAAGGAAUUCAUCUAAAGGUCCAUCUGCCCCAUCACCUUGAGAUACUGUUUAGUUGGUGUCCUGAAAGAUUCCCUGGAAAAGGAUUGAUCCGAAAGAGUGGACCUUCUCCAUCACCUUGAGAUCUUAUCACAGGAAUCAUGGAAACUUGGCUGAAGAUGAAUGUCAUUGUGUUUGUUCAAAUGUAUUUCACUCUUAAAAAGUGCUUUUAUUAAAAAACUUGUAUCAAAA